rnacentral:lncRNA from 1 species
AUGGGUGGAAAAUGCACAAUGCUUAUUACUAUUUCCAGACCGUCAGCGUCUCUUAAGGACCUGAACUUCACCACAGCUUCAAAAAAUUGCAUCCUGGUGAGAGAGCACAGAGCCUGCUGGAAUCAGUGUGUUCAGCAUUGCCGGAGCAGAGCAUGUGCAGGGAGCGGAGACAGGCAGCAGAGGAUCUGCAGAAAGGAAAAGAGCAGUGGAGGCUUACAAAGAGUUCCUUCCGGUUGCACUGUUCUUCCAGCCCUUUUGCCUGGAGGUAUCUGAAUUCCCUCAUGAGAAGUGUCCUACCAGUUUCUCAUGUGCAGCCGCACCGUCCAUGGGUAGCAACAGUUUAACUGAUGU